rnacentral:rRNA from 1 species
AGAGUUUUGAAUCUGGCUCAGAUUGAACGCUAGCGGGAUGCCUUACACAUGCAAGUCGAACGGCAGCACGGACUUCGGUCUGGUGGCGAGUGGCGAACGGGUGAGUAAUGUAUCGGAACGUGCCUAGUAGCGGGGGAUAACUACGCGAAAGCGUAGCUAAUACCGCAUACGCCCUACGGGGGAAAGCAGGGGAUCGCAAGACCUUGCACUAUUAGAGCGGCCGAUAUCGGAUUAGCUAGUUGGUGGGGUAACGGCUCACCAAGGCGACGAUCCGUAGCUGGUUUGAGAGGACGACCAGCCACACUGGGACUGAGACACGGCCCAGACUCCUACGGGAGGCAGCAGUGGGGAAUUUUGGACAAUGGGGGAAACCCUGAUCCAGCCAUCCCGCGUGUGCGAUGAAGGCCUUCGGGUUGUAAAGCACUUUUGGCAGGAAAGAAACGUUCCGGGUUAAUACCCCGGGAAACUGACGGUACCUGCAGAAUAAGCACCGGCUAACUACGUGCCAGCAGCCGCGGUAAUACGUAGGGUGCAAGCGUUAAUCGGAAUUACUGGGCGUAAAGCGUGCGCAGGCGGUUCGGAAAGAAAGAUGUGAAAUCCCAGAGCUUAACUUUGGAACUGCAUUUUUAACUACCGAGCUAGAGUGUGUCAGAGGGAGGUGGAAUUCCGCGUGUAGCAGUGAAAUGCGUAGAUAUGCGGAGGAACACCGAUGGCGAAGGCAGCCUCCUGGGAUAACACGACGCUCAGCAGAAAG